GUUUGAUCCUGGCUCAGAAUCAACGCUGGCGGCGUGCCUAACACAUGCAAGUCGAACGAGAAAGUGGAGCACUCCAUGAGUAAAGUGGCUACCGUGGUGAGUAACACGUGACUAACCUACCUUCGAGUGGGGGAUAACCGUCGGGAAACCGAGGCUAAUACCGCAUAACACCGUGAGAUCAAAGCAGUAAUGCGCUGGAAGAGGGGGUCGCGGCUGAUUAGCUAUUUGGCGGGGUAAUGGCCCACCAAGGCGAAGAUCGGUAGCCGGCCUGAGAGGGCGCACGGCCACACUGGAACUGAAACACGGUCCAAACUCCUACGGGAGGCAGCAGUGGGGAAUUUUGCGCAAUGGGGGAAACCCUGACGCACCAACGCCGCGUGGAGGAUGAAGUCCCUUGGGACGUAAACUCCUUUCGACCAAGACGAUAAUGACGGUACUGGUGGAAGAAGCACCGGCUAACUCUGUGCCAGCAGCCGCGGUAAUACAGAGGGUGCGAGCGUUGUUCAGAAUUAUUGGGCGUAAAGGGCGCGUACGCCGCGCGGUAAGUCACCUGUGAAAUCUCCGGGCUUAACUCGGAGCCUGCAGGCGAAACUGCCGUGCUGGAGUAUGGGAGAGGUGCGUGGAAUUCCCGGUGUAGUGGUGAAAUGCGUAGAUAUCGGGAGGAACACCUGUGGCGAAAGCGGCGCACUGGACCAUAACUG
rnacentral:rRNA from 1 species